rnacentral:piRNA from 1 species
CAAAUUAAAAUUUCAGUUGAA